UGCAUACUCCACAGAGGUCACCGCUAACAUUAUUGAUUCAUUUUCUCACCUCACUACUCAUAAGCAGUUGUGCUCUCGUGAAGGAACCUUACCUGCAUCGAGAAAAUCAUAGCCGAGGUGCUAGCUGAGAGAAGCCUAUCCGAUUAUUUCAUUUCGUCAAAUCAACACAU